GCACAGAGCACAGUGCUGCCUGCCCUGCUGUGCCAUGGGCUCCAGGCUCCUGCCCUGGGCGAUGCUUUGCCUCCUGGGGACAGGCCCAGCAGAGGCUGGAGUCACCCAAACUCCAGGACACCUGAUCAAAGCAAGAAGACAGCAAGUGACAUUGAGAUGUUCCCCUGUCUCUGGGCAUGCCAGUGUGUACUGGUACCAGCAGGCCCUGGGUCAGGGCCCCCAGUUCCUCAUUCAGUAUUAUGAGGAGAAAGAGGGAGAAAAAGGAAACUUCCCUGACCGAUUCUCAGGUCACCAGUUCAGAGACUAUCGCUCUGAGCUGAACCUGAGCGCCUUGGAGCUGGGGGACUCGGCCCUGUACCUGUGCGCCAGCAGCUUCCACAGCCCUGCAGAGCCACCAACGGUCUGUGCACAAACUUCCUGCUUCAGCUCUGACUCCAGAGCUGCAGGCUUUACCGAAGUUUCACUACUUCAAGGUGUGCUUCCAGUUGUUUCCAGCGUGUUCCCUUUGUCCAGCUGAGCUGAGAGCCAUCCCAGCCAGGAGAGCCCAGGCUCAUCUGCAUGGGCAGGAUUUGUCCACUUCUCUAUCAGCAACUUCUUUAGCUUGUCAGGUCCUGGGCAACUUCAGCAGAAAAGUGACAACUGAGGCCCCAGAUGUGUGCUAGAUUCUUUGUAUAUGUUCUAUGUUCUAAAGUUUUACAGUGAUCAUGCAAAUCAAGGAUGCUAUUCCCCUGUUAUAUAUGGAAAGCUUAGGGACGGUAAAUCAUUUCCCCAGUGUCUCCCGGUUUGUAAGAAGCAGAAAUGGGAGAUAAACUUGUGUGUGUUCAUCAAUUCUGUACAUCUUCCGUCUACCCUGUUGUCCUACCAUCACCUGCGGUGUCCUGGCCAGUGGGACAGAGCCCCUUUCUGCUCUCAAGUCCCCAGCUGGGCAGGAGUGGGAACUCAGACAUCUCCAGGGGUUAUUACUAUCCCCUCUUCAUUGGCAACUUUGAAGAAUGUGUAAUUUCCCACUAAUUCUGUAUCAUUUAUAUGCAUUCCUUGUGUCUUUUUUUUUUUUUUUUUUUGAGACAGAGUCUCACUUUG